CACACAUUUCACAUACACAUUUCAGGAUGUUGACAUGGGCCACUUCUUGCUGAAGUGUCAAGUGAGGGGCCAAAGCAAUAGAUUCAGGUGCCAGCAUGUUUAUGAAGCAAAUUCUCCCACGGGCAUAACUUACCAAAGGAAUGUGAGCAAACUAGUUCCAAGACUCGUUGACCCCUUCAGCCAGACGAGGUUACCAAAUGGUGUAAAAGUGUGAGCAGAGAGAGGAUUUGGGAAAGGUUUCUUUGGAGGGAGCUGUUGCUGUCCAAGCAAAGGAGGCAUCACAGAGGAUGCUCUCUGCUUCCACUCUAGUCUAACGGUGGUGAGAUCUUCCAUGGGACCGUUCACAGAGGUUGAAAUGUGUUCCAUGCAUAGGCUGGUGCCUAAUGCCCACCUGAGAGGGUGAAAGCAACCUGUGGCCACAAAAGAGAAGCGGCUGCCUUGGGAUGGAUGAGCACUGCUAGCGUUUGUCAAAGGAAGCAAGAGCUCCAGUGAUGACCUCACCCCUGCUUUUCCAAGACAAACCAAACCUUGUGCCUGCACCAGGUUCUUUGUACCUGUUCAUCCUCAUGUGAGAAAUGAAACCUCAUUAAAUUGGAGUCGGGAGGCCAAAAAGGGGAGCUCUCAUCGCUACAUCAAUAGCAGAGCCCAACGGGAAGAAAGACUUCCUUUUCUUGACCAGCAAGAACCUCAGCCAAUGAGAAACUGUCACAACUCAGCCAAUGGAAAGCCCCUACCCCUCAACCUCUUUGUUUACAAUUGCCCUCCCAACUUCCUCUUCCCCUGUAUGAAAGAGUUUCUCCUCCCUUGCUGCUAGGGGACUUGCACGUGGCUUGCCAUGGUUGCAGACCCCAAACUGCAAUUCUUUGCUGAUCCUGAAUAAACCCAUUUUUGCUAGAGAAAUAACUGGCCAUCUGUUUGUUUGAGGUCGACAUUUGGCUCCAGCAAAGACACCCAACGACUCUGAGACUGGUGAGCAAACAGAUUAGCCCUGAGCUAACUACUGCCAAUGCUCCUCUUUUUGCUGAGGAAGCCUGGCCCUGAGCUAACAUCCAUGCCCACCUUCCUCCGCUUUAUAUGUGGGACGCCUACCACAGCAUGGCUUUUACCAAGCGGUGCCAUGUCUGCACCUAGGAUCAGAACCAGCGAACCCCGGACCACCGACAAGCAGAACAUGCGAACUUAACUGCUGCGCCACUAGGCUGGCCCCAAAGCUUACACUCUUAAUUUUCUUCUGUCAAACAUG
rnacentral:lncRNA from 1 species